GACGAACGCUGGCGGCGUGCUUUAUACAUGCGAGUCGAACGAUGAAGUUCCUUCGGGAAUGGAUUAGUGGCGAACGGGUGAGGAACACGUGAGAAACCUGCCCUUCAUUCUGGGAUAACACCGGGAAACCGGUGCUAAUACCGGAUACUCCGUCUUGGCGGCAUCGCCGAGCCGGGAAAAAAUUUUGAUGAAAGAUGGUCUCGCGGCCUAUCAGCUAGUUGGUGAGGUAAUGGCUCACCAAGGCGACGACGGGUAGCCGGCCUGAGAGGGCGACCGGCCACACUGGGACUGAGACACGGCCCAGACUCCUACGGGAGGCAGCAGUAGGGAAUAUUGGGCAAUGGGCGCAAGCCUGACCCAGCGACGCCGCGUGAGGGAUGAAGGUCUUCGGAUUGUAAACCUCUUUCAGUAGGGAAGAAGCGAAAGUGACGGUACCUAAAGAAGAAGCACCGGCUAACUAUGUGCCAGCCGCCGCGGUAA
rnacentral:rRNA from 1 species